ACUUAACUGGGGUCAAAUUGACUCUAGUAGGGAGUCCCUGCAUUCAAUAUGGCGACUUCCUAACAGAGUCAGGCUGACUCCUUUUAAGACGCUCACCGAC
rnacentral:pre_miRNA from 1 species